rnacentral:lncRNA from 1 species
ACAGGGUAUGUUCUUUAAAAAGUGUAAGACUUCUAGCGGGGGAUUUAUUCAGUGGUUCUGUCGCCUGCCUCGGAAGUGCAAGGUCCUGAGUUCAAUCCCCCGUACCAAAAAAAAAAAAAAAAGACCAGAUGUUGGUGUAAAAACUGCUUGAGAAGCAUCUGUGAGAGAUACCGCGCUGUCCGUCUCCCAGGAAGGAAGUUCGUAUCUCUUGUGCGUGUUCUAAUUUUAAAAUUAACACAGGACUCCAAAAAUUCAACUGAGAAAUGGGAAUGAUCUUCCAGGUCCAAUGAUAUUAGUGUCUGGACCAAAGUCACAGCUACUGGCUUCCUGAAGACAGUGAUAUACAGACUGGGUCUCCACCAUGUGCAUGAGCUAGGAAAGGGCAGAAGAAAGAACUGGAGGAGAAUUGGUCCCGAUAGAAGGGAAGAGAUGUGAGAAGGAUAGAAGAAAUUGUGACUGGGGCAGGCCCACUGACCUCCAGUGGAGCCACGGGCAGAGCACCCAAGACUGACUGAGCCCUGCUGUGUCCGGCUGGCUACACCUCCUUGAGACCAAGAGCUGAUAAGGAUCCCCCAGGCAGGCCCACCAGCCGCCUGUGGAGUUGCGUGGGCACCUACAACAACAGACCCCCCCCCCAACCGCCUCUGGCCUCUUGGCUGUGCAGCUACCUGGUUCCACACUGCAGAGGCACAGGGGACAUAAAGGCCACUGUCCUGAGCUGCAGAAGUGAACGAGAGAGAGAGAGAGAGAGGGCCUCUCUCAGGCUUCCUGAUGAAAACUGAAGCCCACUGGAAACGUGAAGAGAAUCUCUGCAGUAAAGGCACACCAGACCACCAUACUUGGAGGACAUGGAGCUCAACUUGGGACUUGAAGCCAGAAAUCUGCCUGAAUCUCACAGAGAAAGAGCAAGAAUCUGUGCCUGGAAAACAGACCACAGACCCACAGGGAUGAGUACAUUGGAAGCAUUGGAGUGGAGUAAACAUCUUCAAGUUUCAAGUAGUGGAUUAAGAGCAGCAGCAGAAAAGCCAUAAAAACCCAGAUGAUGAAGACUCUUUAAAGGUCAUCUUCUUAUUGCCAAGACGCAGUACCUACACCCUCAACCUAAAGGAGAAGUUUAUUUUGGCUCUUGGUUACAGUCCACAGUUGGCUGGCUCCAUGGCGGAAACAAGAUGGUAGAGGGGCAUGGUUGGGGGAAAGGGUCUCCUCAUGUUAUGAUGGCCAGGAAGCAGAGAGGGAGCAUGACAGAUCCAGGAUGAG